rnacentral:rRNA from 1 species
CCUACGGGAGGCUGCAGUGGGGAAUAUUGGACAAUGGGGGGAACCCUGAUCCAGCCAUGCCGCGUGUGUGAAGAAGGCCCUCGGGUUGUAAAGCACUUUCAGUGAGGAAGAACGCCUGGUGGUUAAUACCCAUCAGGAAAGACAUCACUCACAGAAGAAGCACCGGCUAACUCCGUGCCAGCAGCCGCGGUAAUACGGAGGGUGCGAGCGUUAAUCGGAAUUACUGGGCGUAAAGCGCGCGUAGGUGGCUUGAUAAGCCGGUUGUGAAAGCCCCGGGCUCAACCUGGGAACGGCAUCCGGAACUGUCAAGCUAGAGUGCAGGAGAGGAAGGUAGAAUUCCCGGUGUAGCGGUGAAAUGCGUAGAGAUCGGGAGGAAUACCAGUGGCGAAGGCGGCCUUCUGGACUGACACUGACACUGAGGUGCGAAAGCGUGGGUAGCAAACAGGAUUAGAUACCCCCUGUAGUC